rnacentral:tRNA from 1 species
GUCCCGUUAGCUCAGUUGGAUAGAGCGACCGCCUCCUAAGCGGUAGGCCGGAGGUUCAAAUCCUCUACGGGACG